GCCGCCGCCUUGUUUCCCCUCUUCGUGCGAUUCGGCCGCCGCCUUGGCUUCCCCUCCUCCCGCGACCCGGCCGCCGCCCUGGCUUCCCCUCCUCCCGCGACCCGGCCGCCGCCUUGGCUUCCCCUCCUCCCGCGACCCGGCCGCCGCCUUGGCUUACCCUCCUCCUGCGGCCCGGCCGCCGCCUCUUGGCUUCCCCUUCUCCUGCGAUCCGGCCGCGCCUUGGCUGCAGUCCGCUUGAUAUCUCUACGCAUCGGACGAGGUCAAGCGAGCAGACCAGCUGCCCAUCUGGCUGCUGCAAAGUCGCGCUUCAGGUUUUACGCCGCAUCCCUGGUUCAACGAUUUUGAUCAUGGAUCAGGUGGAUUUUUUUUCCCACUAUCUGUUCCGUCCCGUUUUUAGGUUUUCACACCAUUUACCAAUUUUUCUCUUUGUUUGUCCACACAGCUUUACCGCAGGAUCAGUAGAAGCAUUGUUAAGAUAGCGAUUGGGCAUUCCUUUUAUCAUGGUUUUGUUUCUGAUAUCAUGCCACGGCUCACUGUAAUGGCAAGUGCGGCCUCAUUUCCAACGCCAUUGAAAAAUUACGAUGUCCUUCUGAGUUUUCCAGAUGGAAAAGAGUUCUUUUACCCUGCAGAAAGCGCUAUCCAAAUCAUCCAAAUCACAGACGGUAUUGCUGUAAUAGAAUGCCAUGGGGAAGAGAUUGAUACAGAUCUGGUCGAGGCACUUCAAGUAUGUGGAGAACAAGUUUCAAUAUCUGAAGAAGUGUAUACAUAUAAUGCUUACGCUGAGGGCAUAGAAAGCGCCAUAACCAAAGGUUAUGUAAUGUCAAUACAAGAGAGUUCGUUCUUCCACAGCUGCUCUGCAGGUUUAACUUUGCACCUGGGAGCAUUGGUCAUUAACAAAGGCGGUCAAUUGGUUGGCUUGUGUACUGGGUUUGAUCGCCACCUAAUUGCUAGAGAAAUGUCUGCACUAGCAUAAGUAGAUCCUGAUUACAUAUACCCAACCGAAGACUGUUUAUGUUCUUUUUUCAAAUAAAUAAUUUAGUUCAUGAAUAUUAUGUUAGAGCAUGCUUUGAAUUAAUGCUUCCACAGUCCUACUGAUUAUGUUUCUCACAAACGACAUGGUGAAAUGCAUGGGAAUAUUUCCCUGAAAUGCUAUUUCACACUUUCAGCAGCUACGGACAAGAAUUUAAAAGCAUGUACCUUGUUUCAAAGAUCUAGUUAUAUUGUGUUCUAUGGCUAAUUAAGAAACUUUAUAGAUAUUGGGAUCUAGCUAUAAUUUUUUCACAAUUUGGGCUUUGCACUUAGAUUUAAUAUAUAGUCAAAUAUACAUAACCAGUGUUAGGUAAGAACCUAUUUUGCAUCUUGGUUCACUGCUUUACCCAUUUGUGUUUGGGAAAGCAAUAUUCAUAAUUGAUUAAAAUGUGCACUUUAUCUGAAGUGCAUUUUAUAAAAUGGUUGCAAAAAGAAACUUUAGUCAGAAUUGAAAGGCCAAGCUUGGGAAGAAUAACGGAGCAUAUGGCAGAACCAAAUAGCUAUUGAUAGCCCUGUUACUUUUAUAUGUUUUUUAAGCUGUUGAGCAAUUGCUUCUCCUGGUCUUUGGUGAAUGAGAGGAUAAUUCAAGAAAAUUGAGUGGGGUAAAAUGGUCUUGUUCCAGUAAUUCUAUAUCAGUGUUAGAUAAGAACAUAUUUUCAGAAAAUGAGAGGGUAAAAUCCCACAUUCUUCAGCCGUGACUGGUGACACCUUUGUUAUUUUUUAAUUGAAGUAGGAGCUUAUGUUGGCCACUGUAACUUUUUGGCAAUGCUACCAACCACCAACUUCUGUCUUGAUGAAACCUGAAUAUUACACAGUACACUCAAUUGAUUUGAGAGCAAUAUGACAGCGCUUCUGUGGUUGCUAGUUUUUGUUAAAAAUAUACAUCGUCCUCCUAGUGGUAUGAUAUUUUGGCUGCAGUUUUUUUCUUCUUAUGAUGGAGCUAUAUCCUAAGAUAAAAAUACCAAUCUAUAUGUGACUAUCUAACCUAUCAAGUGCUUUGUGCCUUUGGGCAAGAUGAUUUGUCGUAUCAAGUGUUUGUCAUUCUGUCCUGGCAUUUUGAACCCCUUGAGGUGGCAGUUUUCAACAUUUUAACCUGCCAUGUCUUCCCUGGAUUAUUUGAGCUUGUGCACCUUUUUCAGUUUUCAUCCGUGUCCAUAUGUAAAAAGAGAGUGUAUCUGAUGCCUCCUCUUGUAUUUCAGGAGAACCAUUUGUAGAUGGGCAAGCUGUUCCUUAGGACCCCGAAUACCACAAGGAGUGGGUGAGAAACACUCCUUUUGGCAACCGGUGUACUCAUAGCCGUCCCAACUUUGAAAGGAGAAGGUAUAACACGUGUACAGUCCUACCUGUGCGGGCCUGAUCCACCAAGUUAUCAGUUUCCCUCACAGGUAACCCAAGCUACGAAUGCAGCGGCAACUACAACAACACCGCCCCACCUGCUUACGAAGGCAGGAACGGGCCAGGGAGGCAUUACCAAUAGAGAUCACUGCUAGAAGAUUGCCGUAGGAAAGUUAGUACGGAUUUUUUGCAUAUAUUCUCUAUCCGUACCAGUUUUGUGAGAAAUAUAAUUACUAAAGCUUAGGCAAAUGCUCUCUUUUUUCUCUUUGUUGAAAUAAAUACAGUGUUGACUAAAUUUUCGUGUGGAGCCAGGGUAAACAAGUGCCUCAUGGUGCCAGGUGUAAGAAUUUGUGAGAAAACUUGUGUUUAUUGAUUCUGGGCAAAGCCCUAUUUAUACAAGGAUUUGGGCGCCUCCGGAGAGGCGUCCGUUUACAA